rnacentral:lncRNA from 1 species
UGGCGACCAGAACCACCCAAGUCUCAUUAGAAACCGCCAAGAAACCGCCAUACAAUCGCCACAAGUAACAUAGUGUUUCUUACAUACCAUGAGUAAAUUUUAUAUAAUUUUAUAAUUUUAUAGUUGAAAUGCUUUGAAUCAGUUGUAAAUUUUGUAAUUGUACCAAAUAAUUUUAAUAAAGCUGAAAGAAAAACUUUCUAAUCUUUCAAAUUUUCAAAAGACAUGUAUAGAACAUUACACAAAGUAUAACCGUAAAUUUAAAAUAUCACAAAUAUAAUAAUUUCAAGUUAUUUAGAAAAAUAAAAAAUAUCCAAAAGUACCACAAAGACAUGUUAUAUACAAUCUCAAAAGUCAAUCAUCGGAUAGAUAAGUUUUUGCGUGAAAAAUGAAAUUCAUAAAAUUUAUGCAAGAGAAAAGUAAAUCAAACAACCAAUUUGCAC